rnacentral:rRNA from 1 species
AUUGAACGCUGGCGGCAGGCCUAACACAUGCAAGUCGAGCGGAGCGGCGGACGGGUGAGUAAUGCCUAGGAAUCUGCCUGGUCGUGGGGGAUAACGUUCGGAAACGGGCGCUAAUACUGCAUACUAUCAGAUGAGCCUAGGUCGGAUUAGCUAGUUGGCGGGGUAAAGGCCUGCCAAGGCGACGAUCCGUAACUGGUCUGAGAGGAUGAUCAGUCACAGUGGAACUGAGACACGGUCCAGACUCCUACGGGAGGCAGCAGUGGGGAAUAUGGGACAAUGGGCGAAAGCCUGAUCCAGCCAUGCCGCGUGUAUGAAGAAGGUCUUAGGAUUGUAAAGCACUUUAAGUUGGGAGGCGUUACCAACAGAAUAAGCACCGGCUAACUUCGUGCAAGCAGCCGCGGUAAUAC